rnacentral:lncRNA from 1 species
AUUCAGUGUCUUACCAUACCAGUUAAUGGUAAGUAAAUAUCUGUAAUGGGUUUUUCCAAUUUAUUUACUAUGAAAACCAUUACACUCAGUCAGUUAAUACACAGUAAUGCUUAUAUUCUGCUUGACUCUUUUUUCAGAGACAAGAGUUUGUACUGGAGUUAACAGGUGGGUAGAAUAGUUCAUAAUAAAAAAAUUGCUAAACUGGAAAAUUUGUUUUGCCAUUCAGAAAACUUUGAUUUUAACAUUUCUUUCACAUUAUAAUACAGCACUAAACUGCAACUAUUCCUGAACACUGGGGGCAGCACAAAUACGCUCUGUAAUUUCAGCAUUGAACAGUACGCAUGUGCGUCGAUUUCAGAAAUCACACCAGAAAACCUGGCCAGCCUGCUGAAAUGCAAACUAACUGACAAUAGCACCUCCUUCAAAGAGACUUGGAAACUAUUCUUCACAAAAGUCAGUGGAGUCCUGGACAAAGCCCUCAGUAUCUUCUCAAACAUGUCUAUGAACAUCAGCAAGCCAGUCAUGUCUGACAUCCUUGACGUAAUUGGAGACAUCAGAAUAAACAUUUUCAGCGGAGAACAACUGAUGGAUGUAAAUUUUACAAACUACUGGUUUCAUGGAAAUUUAAGACCAUUUUUGUCAUCUGCAUCUGGAGAAUUUUUGAGCUGUCUCAGCAACAAAAACAUCACCUGUGAGAUAUAUCAGAAUGUGUUAAAGGAGUUCAACAAUGAGUUUCUUAACAUGGACCCGUGGACAAAAACUUCGGUCUAUACAUAUUUAAUAUAUCCAUUCCUGUCCAAGAACACAACAGAUCUUGCCUGCCUCUCAAAUACAAACGAUAGUAUGGAUUGGCUGCUCAAAAACUUCGGAAACUUUUCCGUCAUCGCCCCCCUCACUGACCUUUUGGCUCUGAACGAACACUUCUCACCAGUAAGUCCUUAAUGAGUACCUGAAUAGCAACUUUUCUGCGGUAAACUUUGAAAACUUUUU